GCCUGGUUAGUACUUGGAUGGGAGACCGCCGGUGAAUACCAGGU
rnacentral:rRNA from 1 species